GAUUAUAGUUGGAGAUGGUGAGGGAUCCUCUGGAUCUGAGGCGGUACACGAAAAUCGAGGAUAGCGAUGACCUAACUCAAGCAUUGGUGGAGGAAAUCAUAGAGAAAUGUCUUGGUUUCGAAGUUGAGCAGAGGAGUUUGGUGAUUUGUCUCACGAGUUAUGCCAAGAGGAAAAGAUUUUGUAUAAAUUGAUAUCUGGUCUUCACUCCUCCAUAUCAAUUCAUAUAGCUUUUGAUUAUCUACUUGAUGAAGCUACAGAUUUGGCUUCAAAUUAUCUGGAACAGGCAGAGUAUGAUACUUGUAACCCCAAUGAGAACCUUACAACACAAUCCUUGAUAAAACAACUAAUUUACAACCUCAAGCUUCAAGCUGCAUGUCCAAUUCCAUUUGAUGAAGCUAAUUUGUGGAAAGGCCGAAGUGGACUUGAGCUAAAACAAAAAAUUCAACAACAAUUCAGAAACAUCAGUGCAUUGAUGGAUUGUGUAGGAUGUGAGAAAUGUCGAUUAUGGGGUAUGCUUUAGGUUCUUGGUCUUGGAACUGCAUUAAAGAUUCUCUUCUCUAUUGAUGGUAAAAUAAACUCGAGUCAUACAGUAAGUACAUUUUGCUUGAGAUUUUUGUGUCUUUCUCUCUUUACUGUUGUCUUUAUGCAUGUACCAUAAAUCAGAUUGCUUCUGCAGUGAUCUUUAAAUAAUACAUUCUUCUUCCAUGUUAAAUCCUGAACUAAAACAUGUAUAUCUUCCUAAGUUGUAAUCUAGUAAGUAUUUUGCUCCUACAUUUGAAAACAUUAUGGUUCUUUCAUGCAGAUAAUGGCUAGUAUCUGCAUCAUAUAAUGUUAAAUUUUCUUGUUAAAUACAAAUUAAAUCAUACAACUAGACAUGGACGAUCAAAGAUUAUAAGGUAGUUUGUAGUUACAUGACCACUUAAAAAAAAGUUGUGUUUUUUUUUUAAACUUGACCAUUUAAAUAUGAUCUAAUGAUUAUACUUACAUAGUAAAGUAUAAGAAAUGACUGUAGUAAUUAACUGUAAUUUCUAUAAAAAAAAUUACUUGCAACACCCUAUA